rnacentral:rRNA from 1 species
UGAGGAAUUUUCCGCAAUGGGCGCAAGCCUGACGGAGCAACGCCGCGUGCAGGACGAAGGUCUUCGGAUCGUAAACUGCUUUUCUUGGGGACGAACUAAGACGGUACCCGAGGAAGAAGCCCCGGCUAACUACGUGCCAGCAGCCGCGGUAAUACGUAGGGGGCGAGCGUUGUCCGGAUUUAUUGGGCGUAAAGCGCACGCAGGCGGUUUAUCGCGUUUGGAGUGACAGCCUCCGGCUUCACCGGAGGAGCGUUCCGAAGACGGGUAGACUUGAGGGCCAGAGAGGGACCCAGAAUUCCGGGUGUAGUGGUGAAAUGCGUAGAUAUCCGGAGGAAUACCAAAGGCGAAGGCAGGGUCCUGGCUGGUGUCUGACGCUCAGGUGCGAAAGCUAGGGGAGCGAACGGGAUUAGAUACCCCCGUAGUCC